rnacentral:lncRNA from 1 species
AUGGAUGGAUUCCCCGGACCCUACUUUCCUGCCCCCGUACCACACGUGCUGCAUAACGCCACCCUGCAGACGCAACUCCACCUGUGGAAGGCCGCCGCUGCUUUCGGAGAGGUCAUCCACAUGACGGACAAUUCCGCCCCUUUAGCGGAUAAUGCCACAAUCAACCGAGCGUGGUUUGACCGCCUCUUUAAAGAAGGAUACACAUGCACCGAACACCUUCACAAGGGACACUGCAACAACUUCACAAUUCAUACACAAACUGUCCGAAAUAUGGACAUGUUCCUCCUCUGUGAGAAUGCCACCAUAACUAACACCUCCCUUGGGCUUAACGUGACUUGCCCAAAUGGGGGGAAGCUCACCAACACACUCAUGUCCAUCAACAUAACUAAUGAGACCCGGGUGUUCGUGCUCACGACACCCCCUCUGACCUUCUUGCCGGUAGGAACGGACAAGCCUUUUGCCGACUCGGAUUUCUUUCAGGCUGUCCUGAACCGGGGUAAGAGGGGCUUUGAAGUGACUGCUGUGGACUUCAUUGGGCUAGUGGCCAGUCUGAUAGAACAAGUGGAGAUUAGCACCCUCUACAAGCGAGUAGGCCUAGUCGAAGAUAAUCUUAGGGAUUUUAUGCAGCUCACAACCAAGGCCUGGAUUGCCCAACAAGACAUUAAUAAAUUGGUGACCAUAGAAUUGUCGGCCCUUACAUCGGCCGUGCAAGCCUUAGCCACCCUCAUACAGGUUAACUCCGUGCUAGAGGGCCUCCCUUGCCAUCAUGUACUACCCAGGCCAAUGUGCAUGACGGCCGCCGUGCACAACGCAUCCAGGGAGCUGGAUGAGGCAAUCCGGACCUUAAAUGAGCAUAGCAAUAUGUCUGACUAUCUCAGACGCCUAGAAGAUAUAGUACUACAGAUAAAGAAUGAGACAGACCAAUAUAAGCAGCAGAUACAAAAGGACCAUGGCAUUCUCCCCGAGUGGUUUAACCAGCUUGAAUUGUCUAAUUGGCUUAAUUAUGUACUGAGUAUGGGAAGCAUGGUUUUCUUUCUCUUGGUCAUGUGUAUAUGCCUCCCCUGCUUGCUAUCUUACGUGGUACGGCUUUGGCGUAUGGUCUUAGAGCAAGUAAAAGCGGAUAUAUUCCUGCGUAAACAAAAAGGGGGAGUUGUUAGGGGCGGUCGGCCCUAG